GCGCUCGUAGCUCAAUUGGAUAGAGCAUCAGACUUCGGAUCUGAGGGUUGUAGGUUCGACUCCUAUCGAGCGUACCA
rnacentral:tRNA from 1 species